AUAAACUUAACAGGAAAAGAAAAUCAACACAAUAUUAGGUGAAAUAAAACCAAUAAAUAUACAAUUGCACCCAAAGUUGAAAGUUUAACCCAGAAAUUUUUAUCCAUCAUCUUCAACAUAACUUUGGAGCAACAUUACAAAAACAUAGCAAACAAAUAUGCCUAGGAGAGAGGACAAACAGGAAAGGUUGGCUCACCGAGGCGGCAGCAGAGAAUCGGCAGCGUUCAGAGAUGCGCACAGAACCGGGGUGACCGAUGCCAACCCACAACGACGGCCAUGACACAACGCAGGAAUCGCGAUCUAAU
rnacentral:lncRNA from 1 species